rnacentral:tRNA from 1 species
GGGCGUGUAGCUCAGCUGGAAGAGCUCCUGGUUUACACCCAGGCGGUCGCAGGUUCGAGUCCUGUCGCGCCCA